UACUGGCCCGCUAAGUCCUGAU
rnacentral:miRNA from 1 species